CAGCCGCCGCGGUAAUACCGGCGGCCCGAGUGGCGGUCACUAUUAUUGGGCUUAAAGCGUCCGUAGCCGGGGUGGGAAGUCCUCCGGGAAAUCUGGCCGCUUAAAGGUCAGAAUGCCGGAGGAUACUCCCAGCCUAGGGAGCGGGAGAGGCCGAGGGGAUUCCCGGAGUAGGGGGGAAAUCCUAUAAUCCCGGGAGGACCACCUGUGGCGAAGGCGCUCGGCUGGAACGCGUCCGACGGUGAGGGACGAAGGCCAGGGGAGCAAACCGGAUUAGAUACCCGGGUAGUCCUGGCUGUAAACGAUGCGGACUUUGUGUCGGACAAGCUAUGAGCUUGUCCGGUGCCGGAGGGAAACCGUUAAGUCCGCCGCCUGGGGAGUACGGCCGCAAGGUUGAAACUUAAAGGAAUUGGCGGG
rnacentral:rRNA from 1 species